CAAACUUUGACUGAUCCUACAGGAUUAUUAUCGGAAACAUAUGUUUCAGGAAUCUGAAAUCGAAGGGCGAUUGAAUCAGCCCUCCCUAGUACCCUGAACAGAAAUUAAUAACAAAGUAGAAAUAAAGGGGCAAACUGAUCAUCAGAACAUAUCAAAGACAUGUUUUUAACAAGAUAGGAGAUGGGAACAGUUUCAGGGUUGUGUUGAUGAAAUAAGGUCCAUUGCUUCUGACUUUAACCGCUAGUCACAUUCAAUAGAGCAGCUUUGGAAGGGGGAGAAACACGAAAUUUGCUGACCUUCGUUCACUCGAGUCCUAGUGUUUGCGGGCUCUGAGUUUCUCUGCAGUCCAGCCAGAAGGAAUUGCUGUACGUACUGGUUGCAGCAUUCAAUUUUUUUUUUCAGAACAUCAAUUUGACUAUUGAUGACAUAAAGACAAAAUGACAAUGUUAUUUACAAGAAUAUCACGCAAAAGAAGCGGAAGUAGAGAUAAAAGGAGAAAAU
rnacentral:misc_RNA from 1 species